CUGGGCCAAAUACUUCCAAACUUUAAUUGAAUGUUCCUUAGGGUAUCUAGUUUGUAAAUUGUAUCCGAAGUUAUGAUCUAUCAACAAACAUGGUCGCCAUUGCUAAAAAUAGAACAUAGGGGUCAAAUGCAGUUUUUGGCUUAUAACUCAAAAACCAAAGCAUUUAGAGCAAAUCUGACAGGGGUAAUAUUGUUUAUCAGGUCAAGAUCUAUCUGCCCUGAAAUUUUCAGAUGAAUCAGACAACCUGUUGUUGGGUUGCUGCCCCUGAAUUGGUAAUUUUAAGGAAAUUUUGCUGUUUUUGGUUAUUAUCUUGAAUAUUAUUAUAUAUAGAGAUAAACUGUAAACAGGAAUAAUGUUCAGCAAAGUAAGAUUUAC
rnacentral:lncRNA from 1 species